CCUGCCCCUAGAGGCAUCACAGGUGUGGCUGCCGUGUCACAUGUGUGUCAGUAGGGGGCAGAGAGGCUAUGCCUAAGCUCAGUGUUCUGACCUGUGAACAUCUGAAUGAUUGGUAGCCUACACA
rnacentral:snoRNA from 1 species